GUGGGGAAUAUUGGACAAUGGGCGCAAGCCUGAUCCAGCCAUGCCGCGUGAGUGACGAAGGCCUUAGGGUUGUAAAGCUCUUUUGGCGGGGACGAUAAUGACGGUACCCGCAGAAUAAGCCCCGGCUAACUUCGUGCCAGCAGCCGCGGUAAUACGAAGGGGGCUAGCGUUGUUCGGAAUUACUGGGCGUAAAGCGCACGUAGGCGGAUUUGUUAGUCAGGGGUGAAAUCCCGGGGCUCAACCUCGGAACUGCCUUUGAUACUGCAAGUCUUGAGUCCGGAAGAGGUGAGUGGAAUUCCUAGUGUAGAGGUGAAAUUCGUAGAUAUUAGGAAGAACACCAGUGGCGAAGGCGGCUCACUGGUCCGGUACUGACGCUGAGGUGCGAAAGCGUGGGGAGCAAACAGGAUUAGAAACCCUAGUAGUCC
rnacentral:rRNA from 1 species